rnacentral:lncRNA from 12 species
UAGGCCCUUUCAUUAUUUCCAAAGUGGGAGCUGACAGGUGCAGUAGCACUGCCUUUAUGAGGUGCUGGAAAAAUCUGGCCCUGCUCUGGUUUCAGUGAAAUGCAGGUAAAAAGGUAGCUGGGAAGAGGGGGCUUUCCUGACACCUCUCCUAACUAAAGCACACUAAGAUCUGAAAAAUAGUUACAAGUCUUUUGUUGUUUUUCUUUCCUUUUUCUCCAUGUUGUACACAGGAACUGGGCAGAUUGUCCAUCUCUGCCUGAGGGCUGCAGCAAACCAAGAACUCAGGCAGGAACAACAACCUGCUCUGGCAGCUUCCAGGCUGGAGUCUGAACCAACAGGUGUGACAGAUGUCAUGUGCUCGAGGAUAUAUUGUUGGAGAACUUCAGUGUGAGAAGAUGCAAAUCCACAUCCAGGGCUGCAAGACCACUAAUUUGGAUGUACUAAUGGGUGGGGGAGAAUGACAUGUACUCAAGGGCUCUUUGAUAGCUGAAGAAUUUGAGGAAAUCAACACUCCAGGCCUUUUCAUCUCCAGUUCUCUGAGAAGCUGCAUGACUUUGUUGAGUGGUUGCAGUUACAGCUCAAAUUCCCUGAUUUUGUAAUUAUUCUCUCCUCCCAAAGCCAUGUACAAGACAGGGAAGCAGAUGCAGAGAGAGGAAGGGAACAGUCCCAACAGUGUUGAGUUGUCCAUGAAAUGUGGCCUCAGUUUAAACCUCCCAGGGCAGAGCAAGGCAGCCUUUGCAGGCUAACAUUUCCUCAGUCCCUUCUCCUUCCAUUUGGGAUAAACAAACUUGCCAGCUCUGUGCAAAGAUCCCAAAGAAACAACAUAAAUUUUAUUUGAAGAGUUUAGAUGCCCCUACCUGCCAAAAUGAGGCAAGAUUGACCUUUUGCAACCAGUUUCCUACCAGCUCCUCAGCCAAAUGAACACAGAGGACAAGAACAUUCCAGUUCCACUGUAGUCUUCCAGCUCCUUGC